rnacentral:lncRNA from 1 species
CUCUCAAAAGUCUCAGAUCAUCCCGGGUUGCAGCAUCAGAUAGGACGCAUCCAAGCAGCCUCUUGCGCUGCUGGGUUAUGUCAUCCAGCUGUUCAAGGACGAUUGACAUGUCUGGGAGCUGCGCAAACCCCUCUGAGCUGUCCUUGCUCUGUCCUUCAUCCUGUACCUGAAGCACAGGAUCUUCCUUAGUAAAGUUGUCUGAGUCUGAGGAGGGUUGCCAAGAAAGUGAUCUGACUAGAAGUAUCAUGAUUCUGCAUUUUUUUGUUCGCUAGCUACUCUUCGGAUGAAACAGUUCGUGUUUUUGUCAACACACCUUCGAGCUGCGACCUCUCUGCAGCCAGAGCUGGAUGUCUUGAUUCACUCUGACUGGGACGUUAUGAAGCCCUACGAACUUCGCAUGCCCACUUGUUCCUUGACAGUGACCGCAAGGAUUUCGAACCAACGGGGACAUAAAUCGCUUGCUUCUACGGUUGGCCGCCAUCGUGUCUCCAAAGAGCUGUCUUGGACCACCGGCAUCACAUGCCGUCCGUGGAAAAUGAGUGCAGCACGUCAGAUUCGACACUUACAGCUUCAGGAUGGAUGAAUAUUCGAAAUUAAAUUCUUUCUCUUUUGAUUAUUGAUCGAGCUUCCCUCAAAUGCGUAGUGAUGUGUUCCAUGUUGGCGAACCUUUGAGCCAACUUUGGCGCAUCUGGUGCAAUUUGUCCCCAACCUCAUGCGGUUGCAAAUCUUUGUCAGGCAGAAGAUAUUGAAGUAGAGAGUAGCAUCAUCAACUUAUGCAAGCUGAAAGUCUAGAAUUUAAAAGCAGUUUUCGGAUCUAAUAUCAUCAUGUGAUGAGAGCCAUCGCUGGUAGUUGUACAAGCAGGGAAGUGAAAUGUGGUCUCAUGGUGGUUUAAAAUCACUUGACAGAGUGCACUGUAUUGAUCCAUCACUGACCAGGGCGUCGGUAAAGGUGCAGAUGUUUGCUAAAUCCCCAUA